rnacentral:misc_RNA from 1 species
GAUGAAGAACGUAGCGAAUUGCGAUAAGUAAUGUGAAUUGCAGAAUUCAGUGAAUCAUCGAAUCUUUGAACGCACAUUGCGCCCAUUAGUAUUCUAGUGGGCAUGCCUGUUCGAGCGUCAUUAAGUCCACUUAAGCCCUGCUUAGUGUUGGGAGACUGCUCCAGCGGUGCUACCCUGUAGCUACCCUGCAGCUCCUCAAAGACAGCGGCGGAGUUGUGGUAUCCUCUGAGCUUAGUAACUUGUUCUAGCUUUCGAGUACACCACUUCCCCUGCCGUAAAACCCUUAAUUGUUAAUGGUUGACCUCGGAUCAGGUAGGAAUACCCGCUGAACUUAAGCAUAUCAAUAAGCGGAGGA